rnacentral:lncRNA from 1 species
CCCACCCUUCAAAUCAUCCUCGUCUGUCAGCUGCCGGAGCACCGGCGACCCGAUCUCUAUAUUGGUAAGACUCAAGCCUAAACAUUCCCCAAAUCUCGUUGCAAUUUCUCUCGUAAAUAUAUGUACAAUCUUAUACAUAUAUGUAUUUAGUUUGGCUUCUCUAACUGAAAAAAAAUCAACAAUUUUACGCAUUUAUGUGUGUUUUCUUUGUGUGUGCUGGUACUACAGACACUAUAUACACAAUUAAACAUAAUAUUUCAGCUAUUGAGUUAAUAACCCAUUUGAUUAUCAAGUCAAUAUUUUGUGAGAAUGUUUCAUUAAAAGGGACAAGGUUCAGUAUUAAUGUUAGGAGGUUCAAAUCUAUGAGGGGCAAAUUUCUAAAGCAAUAUGCUUUGAUUCUAUUUUUAUUGAACUUAUUAACUUGUGACGCUGGUAAUUUGUUUGUUUUUCAAUCGUCUUGAAGGGAAUUAACCUCCAUAAACCAAGUAGAGCUUCACCCUGAGUAGGGAUUAAAACUUGAUCAAGUGUGUAAGUGCUCAUGAUUAUCGGUGGAAGAGGUGUUUACUAGUUAUGUUUGGUGAAUAAUGCUUUAGUACAUAGAGCUUUACUGUCGUGAGGUUUCAAGAUGCAUGCAUGAUUAUUCGGUGAGUACUGAUUGAAGGCAUGCUAUUAUUGGUUUAAAAUUCUAGAGCACAUUAAACUCAGAUUGUUGGAUAGUUGGAGUUGUUAACUUGUUAUACUUGAAGUUAAUAUAGACCCAUCUUAUGCAAUGGUAUGGAAGAAGAAUACUCUUGUCUUGUUUAGAUCUAACAGAAGCCCCCUAGAUAUAAAAUAAUUUGGAACCUUCAUGAAGUAAACUCUGAAGAAGAAAUAAUAAUUUGUAAUUCUUGAACUCUACUGUGUGUUCAAACCACUUAUAGCUAACACUUAUUUAUGGUACACAUUUGAACCUGUUAAACUUCUGAUUCUUUGUUUAAUGCUUUCAUGCUCAUAUUAGAAGGUAGUGGUCUAAGUGGUGAUAUUGUAAAUUACUACUGUCUGUUGUUAUAUGCAUGUGACUUUGUCUUUGAUUUGUUGCAUUUUGGUGGAUGUGCAUAGAGUACAAACUGAAUUCUUUAAGAAUAAGGUACAACAAAUUGGGUCGGGAAAGUGAGCAGAUCCCAGAAAUUGUAAGAAUGCAAUUAAUCUGUAUGAAAAUGAAUCAAGACAAGACUAACAAACCCUAUGAUUUCAUGCUCUGGUAUCAUCACAAGACUGUGGAACAGGAACGCAUUGACAAAUGAUCCAUCAUAAAGAAUUUUGGAGAUAUUCAGUGCAAAGAAUAUCAAGUACUAAUCAUUCUAAUGCUGCCUUUGUAGAGUCCUGCUUUGAUUAAAAUAAAAAUAAUAAAGUUGAUCUUUUUACAGGGGUUACAGAAAUUCAGUGUUUGUCUCCUGCUAAAUAUAAUUGGCUUGCAAGUGUUGAAUUCAAAGCGGAUGUUGGUAGUUGCUUAUGCUUGUGCUGAUCUGUUUAGCUGUACCAAAUGCUAAAUGAAAGUCUCUACUUUCUUGCCUGCUUCAAGAGCGCAAGGGUGGAUCUUUCUUGUGCUUGGAUUCAGUAUGUUUUUGGGGUUUCUCUAUGCUACUAUCAUAUCUAAGUUUCUUCCAGCAUCUGAAAAUCACAUUGUAGCAGCAAUUCAAAAGGACAGGUGAGAUUUUAUUGCCUCUACAUUAAUAUUACUCCAUCCAUUCCAAAAAAGGAGUCACAAUUACAACAUUUACAAACUUUAGGGACAUAUUCGUUCCAUAUCUACCCUUAAUUAUAUUGAGUGUUCAGUUUAUGAAUAGGCAUGAUAACAGAAUUGUG